rnacentral:lncRNA from 1 species
GAGAGGUUAGAAAUUUGGAUUAUUAUGUAAAUCUCUCUUUAUAAAUACAUUACAUUAAAAUUUAAAAAAUGCAGGUGGGACAAAAAAACUCUGUUGUAAAAUUCCAAUCCAUGUGCUCUGGUGUGUGCAGCUCAGAUCAUAACAAUCACAAUAGACACACACACUUAGAGCAUUUGCUGUGUGCCACGAAGACACCAAUUCAUUCCACCCUUACAAUAAUCCUAUGAAGUCACUAUUACUAUUAUCCUUGUCUUCAAUAUUGUAAUUGUUUUUCUCACCUCCUCAGGGCCUAUCCCUUUUUUUAAGAUAAGGAUACUCUACAGAGAGAGGUUAAGUAUGUUACCCUAAAUUGCACAGCUAGGAAGUGCCCAAGUGGGGAUUUAAACUUAAGUCACCUGUCCUCGGAGGCAGUCCUGAAAGAUUCUUGCCUACAGGGGCUGCUGCAUCUGACUCUGCAGUUGUGCAUGUCACGGCCACUGGGAAAUGGUGCCCUCUGAAGUUGUGCAAUGCUAUAGUCCCAUAACAACGUUUUUUUUUUUUUGUUUUUUGUUUUUUUUCAGAGUCUCUCUCUGUUGCCUAGGCUGGAGUGCAGUGGUAUGAUCUUAGCUCACUGCAACCUCUGCCUCCUGGGCUCAAGCUAUUCUCCUGCCUCAGCCUCCUGAGUAACCGAAAUUACAGCUGUGUGCCACCACGCCUGGCUAAUUUUUGUAUUUUUAGUAGAGAUGGGAUUUCACCAUGUUGGCCAGGCCAGGCCAGUCUUGAACUCCCUACCUCAAGUGAUCUGCCCGCCUCGGCUUCCCAAAGUGCUGAGAUUACAGUCAUGAGCCACCACGCCCAGCCAACAAUGGUUCUUUGUUGCAUGGAAACUCUAGAGGGGCUAUGUAGACAAGGACAAGGGCCGCCGUGGUGUUUUUCUGGGUGGACUGAUAGCUGAGGACCAGAUUCUCCCACCCUCACCCCACUUCCAUGCUGAAGGUUGCAGGACUGUGCUACAAACCCUGGAAGGACUGAGAUGACAUAUUCCAUGGGCACAGUGGCCUGGAGGACCAAAGGCUGAGGUAAUAGGAUGUGGUGAGUUGAAUUAUGUCUCCCCCAAAAACAAUUUGUCCAUCUGAAACCUCAGAAUAUGACCUUAUUUGGAAGGAGAGGCUUUGUACAUGUGAUUAAGGUCAGAAUCUGGAGAUGAGGUUAUCCUGGAUGAGAGUGGGCCCUAAGGCCAAUGAGAUAGAAAAGGAGAAGACAUACAGAGACACGGGAAGAAACCCAUGCACAUGAAGAUGGAGGCAGAGAUUGGAGUGGGGCAGCCACAGCCACGGAUCACCAGGAACCACCAGAAGCUGGAGGAGGCCAGGAAGGGCGUGCUAGAGGGAGCACAGCUCUGCUAACAACUUGAUUUUGGACUUGAGGCCUCCAAAACUGUGAGCAGGUGCUCAAUUAAUGUCUGGGGAGAAAAGGAAGUAAGAAAAGGAAGGAAAGAAGGAAUGAGGAUGGCCAGGCGGGGUGGCUCACGCCUGUAAACCAGCACUUUGGGAGGUCGAGGUGGGCAGAUCACGAGGUCAUGAGACUG